rnacentral:rRNA from 1 species
AGUGAACGCUGGCGGUAGGCCCAACACAUGCAAGUCGAACGGCAGCACAGUAAGAGCUUGCUCUUACGGGUGGCGAGUGGCGGACGGGUGAGGAAUACAUCGGAAUCUACUUUUUCGUGGGGGAUAACGUAGGGAAACUUACGCUAAUACCGCAUACGACCUACGGGUGAAAGCAGGGGAUCUUCGGACCUUGCGCGAUUGAAUGAGCCGGUGUCGGAUUAGCUAGUUGGCGGGGUAAAGGCCCACCAAGGCGACGAUCCGUAGCUGGUCUGAGAGGAUGAUCAGCCACACUGGAACUGAGACACGGUCCAGACUCCUACGGGAGGCAGCAGUGGGGAAUAUUGGACAAUGGGCGCAAGCCUGAUCCAGCCAUACCGCGUGGGUGAAGAAGGCCUUCGGGUUGUAAAGCCCUUUUGUUGGGAAAGAAAAGCAGCAGGUUAAUACCCCGCUGUUCUGACGGUACCCAAAGAAUAAGCACCGGCUAACUUCGUG